rnacentral:rRNA from 1 species
GAUCAUGGCUCAGAUUGAACGCUGGCGGCAUGCCUUACACAUGCAAGUCGAACGGUAGAGGUAGCAAUACUUGAGAGUGGCGAACGGGUGAGUAAUAUAUCGGAACGUGCCCGGUCGUGGGGGAUAACGUAGCGAAAGCUACGCUAAUACCGCAUACGAUCUACGGAUGAAAGCGGGGGAUCGCAAGACCUCGCGCGAUUGGAGCGGCCGAUAUCAGAUUAGGUAGUUGGUGAGGUAAAGGCUCACCAAGCCGACGAUCUGUAGCUGGUCUGAGAGGACGACCAGCCACACUGGGACUGAGACACGGCCCAGACUCCUACGGGAGGCAGCAGUGGGGAAUUUUGGACAAUGGGCGCAAGCCUGAUCCAGCAAUGCCGCGUGCAGGAUGAAGGCCUUCGGGUUGUAAACUGCUUUUAUACAGGAAGAAACACACCCUCGUGAGGGUACUUGACGGUACUGUAUGAAUAAGGACCGGCUAACUCCGUG